ACUUUCCCCUUUUCUUUUUUUUAGCCGAAGCUCUCUCUCCCUCCUCCCUUUCUCUCGGUCUCCUCUCUCACUCCCUCAACCAAAUUCUUGCUACUCCACCAUCAAUCCUUGAAAACCCACGCACAUCUCUUCAUCCUCGGCCCUCGGAUCGCGUGGGAAGAGCUCGGUGGAGGCAUAUUUCGGAUUUGGAGGCUAGGGUUUGGUUUGAGCUCAAAGCUUGGUCUUGAUACUUGAGGUACUCGUCAUGACACUUAGCUUGGAUUGCAUGGAGCGCAUAUUGAGACGUCUCUUGAGAGCUUCAUUGGAAUCAUUAAGGAGGUACUCGUCAUGACACUUAGCUUGGAUUGCAUGGAGCGCAUAUUGAGACGUCUCUUGAGAGCUUCAUUGGAAUCAUUAAGGAGGUGUUUUAUCAUCUAGUCUAAUUCAUGUUGUGUACUUUACUCACAAUUGAAGGUUGUAUCUUUUGGUUAGAACAUAUGUAAAGCUAGGUAUAAACUCCUCUCUUUGAUUAUUGUGAAGCCCUUUUAAUGGAAUACGUUUGGGAGACUUUAUGUUAAAAAAAAAAAAAAAUUAGAGAGAAGAAGAAGAAGAGACUUUGAUUCAA